rnacentral:rRNA from 1 species
GAUGAACGCUGGCGGCGUGUUUUAACACAUGCAAGUCGAGCGAAGCACUUUACUUUGGAUUCCUUCGGGUAGUGAAGAGUGAUUUGUACUGAGCGGCGGACGGGUGGAGUAACGCGUGGGCAAUCUGCCUCAUACAGGGGAGUAACAGUUAGAAAUAGACUGCUAAUACCGCAUAAGACCACAGUGCCGCAUGGCACAGGGGUAAAAACUACCGGUGGUAUGAGAUGAGCCCGCGUCUGAUUAGGUAGUUGGUGGGGUAACGGCCUACCAAGCCGACGAUCAGUAGCCGACCUGAGAGGGCGACCGGCCACAUUGGGACUGAGACACGGCCCAAACUCCUACGGGAGGCAGCAGUGGGGAAUAUUGCACAAUGGGGAAACCCUGAUGCAGCGACGCCGCGUGAAGGAUGAAGUAUUUCGGUAUGUAAACUUCUAUCAGCAGGGAAGAAAAUGACGGUACCUGACUAAGAAAGCCCCGGCUAACUACGUGCCAGCAGCCGCGGUAAC